UACAGGGGGGGCAAGCGUUGUUCGGAAUUACUGGGCGUAAAGGGUUCGUAGGUGGCCAACUAAGUCAGACGUGAAAUCCCUCAGCUUAACUGGGGAACUGCGUCUGAUACUGGAUGGCUAGAGUUUGGGAGAGGGAUGCAGAAUUCCAGGUGUAGCGGUGAAAUGCGUAGAUAUCUGGAGGAAUACCGGUGGCGAAGGCGGCAUCCUGGACCAACACUGACGCUGAAUCGCGAAAGCUAGGGGAGCAAACGGG
rnacentral:rRNA from 1 species